CUGUCCGUACUUUUCCGUAGGGGCGCCGAUCUGAUCUCUCUGUUGGCUAUCGUGCGGCCCGCUUAAUUUUCGACCACAGCGCGGGCUUCAUUAUUCCAGUUGAAAAAAUUCGCUACUCGUUUUGGAAAUUUGGCUGGAGCUUUUAAUAUGCGUAGUCGCGUAGACUGUUCAGUUUCUCAUCGUCAAUGUUCAAUGCAGAGGCGCAGAGCGCUUCAUAGUUCAUAGUUCAUACUCCACGGUUUCAUAUUUUCCUGCGCAAAGAAUGCUGGCUCCAGUUUCAUAGAGAGUGCAGGCAAUCGCUCACUAUUUCUGUUAACAACUCCACGCUACGUAGCAGCGCAUUUAGGCAAGAAAGAUUCGAUUUAUCAAUGAAAAAGAAUUUGAGGGAAGGGGAGUUCGAAUAAGUUACAAUUCCAGCUAGAGACGACAGAGUUACAGGGCGUGGGGUAGUAGACAAACAAAGAAACUGAUAGAGUAACAGAGCUCCAGUUAGAGCUGGAAUGGCGAAUCCACUUAGAACACGGAAGAGGGUCCAUGCUAUGCGGCGUGCGCCCGACGGAAGCGCCUUCGAGAAAUGUAAUUUCUGCGGAGUUUCAGUACCAGUCGCUCUAUCCGACAUGCACGAGUGCACAUUGAAAAAGGAAUACGAGAAAUUGAAAGGCGCAUGUAGAAAUCAGAACCCUGUAAAACUGAUCAUUGACAACCAACCCAGAUCGCCAUUCUGCGUCUUCAUGGAAAGCUUCAAAAGACUCCAUGCAAACGAAGAUUGGAUUAAUAUCGAUCGUAAAGGAUUUGAGUCAUGGAAGAACAUGUCGACAAAGGACAGACAUCAAUUUAUUGUCCAAGCUGAAGAGGUGAAUUUGGCUUACGAGAAAACGUUGCUCAAAGAAAUCAAUGAUACAUCCAGUGGAGUGGAUGAUGAGGCAGAUUCAGCAAUGGUUGGGAAGUAUGAUCUGAAUUAUGAACAAUAUAAUUACUGGAGAAACUCUGACGGUUUUGAGAGCACCAGCGAUUACAGCAGGGAGAGCUUAGAUAGCUUUGAAUUGGCUACUGUGGACUUGUGAAUUGCUUGGUCAACAUCCUACAGAAUUGAAGAUGUCAUGGUAUUUUGUAUCUAUUGAAAAUGUUUUGGGUCACCUGGAGUAUUUCACUCUUGUCAACUAGAAUCAAAUAACUGAGUGAAUGUUCUGCCCUUACUUGUAAAGUAACUUCAGGAUUCUAAUCAAUUUCUUUUGGUUCCUAAUGCCACAAAUAUUGUCUUCCCCUGAUAAUAUUUAUUAUUCUAAAGAUCCCCUGAUAAUAUUUCUUAUACCAAGGGUUUUUAUAGCUAGGUAGAAUUAGUCCUUUACUAUCUCAUUUUCCUGUAACAUUUUGCAUAUUUUGUGAUUUAGAGGAUGUUUGGCCUUCAAAACCAUUUUGAAUUGUAUUGAAAAGCUUAUCUGCCUUUGUGGUCAUGUGAGUUAAUGGUGUUGAGAAUUUUUAUCAACUUCAUCAUCACCAUCAUCUUGAAGCUUUGUUGCAAGUAGGUUAUUUGAAUUUGAUCUGUCAAAUGUGAUUGGUCAUAUAUUCAGGUUGAUCUUGGGUGGGAUCUAUUAGAGAAUGUAUUAGUUGAUUGCAGUACAAUUCAAUUAGUUAUUACAGUAUAAAAUAGAACAUUAAGAUAAAUAUAAUCUUAAUCAAGGUUCAAAAUUUUGCAAUGCAUCCGUGCAUUCUGGACCGAUAUGUAUUGGCCUUCAGGAUUGUCGAUACUUCGAAUAUUUAUUUGGAGUCAAUUGAUAAUUUGUUUUGACUUAAGCCUGAUGUAAUAACAUGGAUUACCUUGUACAAUUAUUACAUUGCUCCAUUCCGUGUAUACCCAGAACGGGGAGUAAAGAUACACCAUGAAUUUGCCUUUUACUGCUGGGACAAUCCAAGAUGACAGGUAAAAAAUAGUCUGGCAGAAAAGCUGGAUGGGCAUUUUGCAUAAAAAAGAUUGUUUGAAAAAGCAGGAAAAACUCCAUUUAGGUUUUAUGUUUGCAAGUAGCUAUUUUGAAAAAAAAUGGGCCUUGGAGGUCCAAAACCACUUUUUCUUUUUAGCACGGUAAAGGUGGUGGUGGGAGCUGCAACAGUAUAAUGGUGGCAGUGGGAACAGCAGUGCAUAAUGAAGUAGAAGCAUAAUGAAGAUGGUGUGUAUCUAUGAUAACGAAAGCUCAAUUAAAAUUGUUGCUGGACAGGCUGGACUUGGCGUUUGCCUUGGGCUAACAAGUAGCAACAAUCUGCAAUACUGAAAUCUCAACGGAGAAUUUAUUCUUAUUGAAAAUUUAAAGGAAAGGUAACCAAGUGAAGGGGAAGGCGGCCAUGGAAAUUCAUCCUCAAAUGUGAUUGGCAUCAGCUGCUUACAAGAUGGUAGCGGAUAAUGUGAAGAGAACUGAGAACCCGCUCCAUGAUCUGUUGGAUAUCAUGUUCAAACCACGUCAUGCUCUGCUCCGAAGAUCAGAAUAACAUUGAGUAGUAGUGCAUACAAUCUACUUGUGAAAAAUGCAGAAGGAAAAAAGUGAUAAAAAGAGAUUGCCACAAACAGAAGCUUGGCGGAUGUGAUAGGGCUAUGUGGGGUAUUCAAGAAAUCAACAAUGAAUUUAAAUGUAAGAAGUGAAAACUCAAAAGAACCAGACCCUGUGGAUGACAAGAUGCUUGACACUUGUUAGAGCUAAUCUGAUAUCAUAUUAGGGAAAUAAUUGAUUGAUUUCAUUCACAAUUCAAUUGAUGAUUAUAACAAAUAUGAAUGGGAACCGGGAAGAUUUUAUUCUAAACAAUCUUAUCUCUAGUACAUAUUCCUUGGUUAUUGGUGAAAAAAUUAGAAAUACUUAUUGACAAUUUUUAGAAAAAAAGAAGUAACUUGAUGGGAUGUUAUGGCAAAAGCAACUUGUUUAUUCUUGAUAUGGGAAUCUCUAGUUUUUUUGGUUUACUAUUGGAAAGUCAGGAUCUUAUUCAUGGUAGUUAUCUCUGACUCUCUAUAGGAGUGCUCCAAAAGUUGGUCAUAUGUUUGUUUAAUGAUAUUUUAUUAUUUUGUAAAACCAAGGUUUUUUAAUGAAACUCUCUAGUUUUUUUUUUUGGUUGUAACAAGAAUGUUCCUAAUAAAUGUGCUAAACUUCUUAAUAGACAACGGGCAAAAUUGGAUUGGACCGGAUGGUUGGAUCGGAAAAACUUGGAACCGGUCAGCUAAGCUUCAGAACCCCAACUGCCAAAGAGUCCAAUCACUGUUCUUCAUCUCCAACGAAGAUCUAAACCUUGCUAAGCUUCUGUCAUCAUCAUUGAUAAUGAUUGAAGUGGAAUAUAGGAGACAACCAUGGGUGUUCAUCUUCCACUGUUGGUAAUGGUUCAAGGGGAAUGAAAUCAAGCAAUCUCGUAAAAUUUUCUCAACAAUCAAACACCGGAAAACAAAUUUUGCAGAAUAAUUGGUCUCAACAUAGGAUGUCAAAAUGAGAAAAUGAAAUUUCCUUUCUCAUCCCACCCCUUUUCAUUCCACUAUUUCUCAACAACCAAACAGACCAUAAUGGAAUCCAGACUUCAACGGGCGUCUAGACUCCAAAAACUUUUAAAUUUUGCUAAACCUGCCCAAUCUCUUUUUGACUGGACUCUCGACCUGUUCCUGUCUCUUUCUCUCUCUCUCUCUGUUGGUACCUCCGCUCUCCUUACCUCUGUUCUUCAACCUCACGAGCUACCACUGUCGCCAGUUACAUCACCGACAUACUACUUUCAAUCUCUUCGGUUUUUUCUAUACUCUUUCUUUUCCUCUCUCCCACCCUCCAACCGGCACCAACACUGCAACCUCCACCAUUGUUGAAAUCGACAAUCGAACUGCACCGUUGUUGCCAUCAGUCUACAUGUAGUGAUACUAAUGUUAUAUUGUGCAGGUUGAAGCCCGUAGUUCGUUAGUAACAGAGGAGCACCCAUAUGUCAUGCUUGGCCCUAUUGAAUUCGUUCUGAUGGGUUUUGGAUACCAUAGGCAGCUCCCUCCUGCGCCAUUGCCAAAUCAAGGCUCAAAUCCUAUUAGAUCCUCCACCAUUCAUGCAUAGCUCCAAAGCUUCUAUCUCCAGAUAGCCUGGGAAUCAAAUUGAAGCCUAUUAAGAGUUGUGUUACAAUUGAAGGGUGAUGUAGAAAGGAGGUUGUUUCUGAUCACACGCCAUUGGUUCAUGUUAGUAUAGGUAUGGAGAAAAAACUGCACAUACAUACUCGUUCAUAUUGGGGAAAAAACACGUUUAGGAGGACAUUCUUUGAUUUGUGUUAUUGUAUUGGGAGAGGGGAGAUGUGUUGGAGGUAUUUGUGCCAUGUGUAAAUAGAGGGGAAAAAGGAAUAAAAAAUGAUAUCACAGGUUGAUUGUAGAGUAGUUUUUUUUUCUUCAUUUUUGAUGAAUCAGGAAGGUAAAUCAUGUAUGGAUGCCAUAUUCAUUUUGUAUCCAUAACCUUGUAACUUCAAACAAAAAUAGCCCUGAAGAUUGAAUCUCUCUUUCUCUCUCU